rnacentral:lncRNA from 1 species
AAAGAGGCUCGGUCGCAAUACACAGGCUUCAGGGAAGACCGGAGUUUGCCAUCUCCGUACCACCACCACCACCACACACAGCACCCUCAAGACUCCCUGUGAUCCUGGGAUGCACUCAACGAAGAGUGUGUGGCCCAGGAUUUGAUGGAAAUGCUACAAGAGAAGCAGGCUCUCCCCUUCUGAAAUGAUGAGUGAUAAUGACCAUACAGGUCAACUUUUCCACCACUUGGAGGGAGCCUGUCAAAGAACAAAGGCAACAGAGAAGAGAGCAGAGCUGAGGUUGGGUGAGAGGGAGAAAUUCCUGAGUGCUUGAAUCCCACAUGCCGGAAGCCGCACCACACUUGGACUUCUCAAUACAGGAGCCACUCUGCAGGCAUUUAUUGGCAGGCUACACCUAAGACUUUCUCUGCAGAAAAAUGUUCUAGAUGCACAGAUUUGGGGGCUUGAUUGACAACCUGACACCUCACUCUAAAUCCGCAUGGGUCUGUUGACCUCAGCUGAGAAACCAAGUCAUGCUGAAGACCUGGAAAUCCCAGCAGGCUGCAAACCAGCUGCAACUACAAUGGGUCAGCCCUUUUGAGAUGCUGCUGACUACCCACUUAUCUGCCAAGUUAGCCAGUGUUAAGCCAUGGAUUCACCACGCUCAGAUAAAACCUGCCCCUCUGGGAUCCCUCCAGAAAAAAACAGGCAUGCUGUUGUGAACCCUAAGAUGGCCUUAAGUUAAUAUUCAAUGCCCAGCCAAAGACCCUAAAUAAGAAGUCAUAAAGGAAACAUGUGCUUUUCAGGUACCAAUCACCCUCCAGAUCUAAGAAUGGCUUCAGGCUGGGGCUGCAGUCACCUCUUUGCCCAGCUUCUCCCCUGCCCUAUUCUGCUUCACUUGCAUCCUUAAAGGUUCCACCCAAGAGCUCUUCUACAAGAAAGCACCUAUAAAGCCAGACACAUUGGCUUAUGCCUAUAAUCCUAGCACUUUGGGAGGCCAAGGUAGGAGGAUGGCUUGAGGCCAGGAGUUCAAGACCAGCCUGGGCAACUUAGUGAGGCCCCGUCUCUAUAAAAAAUAAAAAAAUUAACCAGGUGUGGUGGUGCACGUCUCUAGUCUCAGCUACUCAGGAGGCUGUGGCAGGAAGAUGGCUUGAGCCCAGGAGGUUGAGGCUGCAGUGAACUAAGAUCAUGCCACUGCACCCAUCUUGGGCAACAGAAUGAGAUCCUGUCUCUAAAAAAAUAAAAACAAUUUACAACAGUAAGCACCUGUACACAAGCCCCAUCUCCAGUCCUGUUUCUAGGGCUUCCAAUUUAACACACCUAGAGGCUGGGCAUAGUAGCUCAUGCCUGUAAUCCCAAUACUUUGGGAGGCUGAGGCAAGUGAAGCACUUGAGGUCAGGAGUUCGAGACCAGCCUGGCCAACAUGGCAAAACCCCAUCUCUACUAAAAAUGCAAACAUUAGCUGGGCAUGGUGGCACAUGCCUGUAAUCCCAGCUACUCGGGAGGCUGAGACAGGAGAAUCACUUGAACCCAGGAGGUGGAGGUUACAGUGAGCCAAGAUCACACCACUGUACCACAGCCUGAGCAACGAAAGAAGACUCUGUCUAAAAAAAGUAAAAAAUAAAAUAAAACACACCUGGAGCUUUCUACAUCCCGUAGGUAUCUGUGUUUCUUUCUCGUGCCCUAUUUGACA